rnacentral:rRNA from 1 species
UGGGGAAUUUUGGACAAUGGGGGAAACCCUGAUCCAGCCAUCCCGCGUGUGCGAUGAAGGCCUUCGGGUUGUAAAGCACUUUUGGCAGGAAAGAAACGUCAUGGGUUAAUACCCCGUGAAACUGACGGUACCUGCAGAAUAAGCACCGGCCAACUACGUGCCAGCAGCCGCGGUAAUACGUAGGGUGCAAGCGUUAAUCGGAAUUACUGGGCGUAAAGCGUGCGCAGGCGGUUCGGAAAGAAAGAUGUGAAAUCCCAGAGCUCAACUUUGGAACUGCAUUUUUAACUACCGGGCUAGAGUGUGUCAGAGGGAGGUGGAAUUCCGCGUGUAGCAGUGAAAUGCGUAGAUAUGCGGAGGAACACCGAUGGCGAAGGCAGCCUCCUGGGAUAACACUGACGCUCAUGCACGAAAGCGUGGGGAGCAAACAGG